UGCUGUCCAACCCCACGUGUGCUGC
rnacentral:piRNA from 1 species